rnacentral:lncRNA from 1 species
CUGGCUUGUAUGCUCCAAGUGACUGAGUUUACACUGUGUCUGUUCUGACAUAACAAAAUUACAUCGAAAAGGCAUUGGAGAGACAAAACCGCUUUUAUACUUCAUCAAGAUGCCACCGUGUUACCUGAUAAUCACGUAUCUCCUGGAUGAAGACGCCAAAGCUUAAAGAAUCCAGAGUCUCGCCCAAGUUCAGAGUCCUGCACAAU